AGCCGGCCACCACGUCACCCAAUAGGAGCCAGGGAAAUCAGACGUUGUUAAUUGAGACUGCACCUGCUGAGAAUUAAACAGCCAAUUAGAGGCUUCGCGGAAUCCUGCCCGCCCACCUCUAGUCCAAUUACCGAGGAAGCUUCAACGUCCCCUAAUCUGGGGGAAAAAAAUCAGCGCUCCUGAGUCUGGGACCAAGGUGCGAGGGCGUGGGAUCACGCAUGCUUGUCACCGUUCACAAAAAAUUAGUGCCUUUGUACAAAGCUAGUGUCACCGACACCCCAGUUACCGUGGGGAGAGCAGCCUCCUGACCGGCGAUGGCGAUGCUCCGCCACUUUUCCUCUGUGAUCUUUUGUCUUGAUUGGUCCUAAUACUGUGGAAGGGACACAGGAGGCAUGGAAAACUUUUUUUUUUUUUUUUUUUUAAACAUGAAACAGGCUCGGUAGAGAUGGAGAGGUUGAGGGGAAAGAGGUGCUCGGAGUGAACAGACGAUGAAGACGGCCACGGCAGCUGGGGAGAUGGAGAGGGACCCGAGUUGGAGCGCCCCGUGCCCUGGCCGGUCUGAAGGAGGGCAUGGGACCAUAGUGAGAACAAGAAAGAACACGGACGUUAACGGCCCCCAGAAGGGUGUAUCAGUUUGGACAUCUGUGCUGGAUAGUGGCCUUCUCAGCUGAAUGUGUACGCACGUGCAUGUGCAUCCUGGUUUGGUCAUGAGAAGCUCUGGAGCCUGGGGCUUGGCUAGCUGUCUACAAGGAAAGCUGGGGAGAGAUGAAAUGGAUAAGGACAUCCAGUCUCCUGGGGAGCCUGGGUGGCUCAGUCAGUUAAGCAUCUGCCUUCGGCUCAAGUCAUAAUCCAAGGUCCUGGGACCAGGCCACGCAUCUGUCUCCCUGCUCAGUGGGGAGCCUGGUUUUCUCUCUCCCUCUGCCUCUCCCCCUGCUCCUUCUCUCUCUC